rnacentral:rRNA from 1 species
CAAUAGCGUAUAUUAAAGUUGUUGCGGUAAAAAAGCUCGUAGUUGGAUUUCUACCGAAGAUAGCCGGUCGGGUCUUCGACCUUGUAUCUGGUUUUGUCUUUGGUAUCCUCAUAGGGAACGUUUCUGCGCUUUAUUGCGUGGUGCGGUAUCUAUGACUUUUACUUUGAGGAAAUUAGAGUGUUCACGGCAGGCAAACGCCUUGAAUAUAUUAGCAUGGAAUAAUAAUAUAGGAUCUUGGUUCUAUUUUGUUGGUUUCUAGAGCUAAGAUAAUGAUUAAUAGGGACAAUUGGGGGCAUUCGUAUUAACGCGUCAGAGGUGGAAUUCUUGGAUUGCGUUACGACGAACUACUGCGAAAGCAUUUGCCAAGGAUGUUUUCAUUGA